GGUGUAGCAUUGUUGGAGAAAGUGUGUCACUGGAGAUGGGCUUUGAGGUCUCAGAUACUCAAGUCAGGCCUAUUGUGAUUGUCUCUUCUUGCUGCAUGCAGAUCC
ensembl:miRNA predicted gene, 24053